rnacentral:rRNA from 1 species
UCGAGGAUCUUCGUCAAUGGGCGCAAGCCUGAACGAGCGACGCCGCGUGUGCGAUGAAGGCCUUCGGGUUGUAAAGCACUGUCGAGGGGGACCAAGGCCCGCAAGGGCUUGAUCGAUCCCUGGAGGAAGCACGGGCUAAGUUCGUGCCAGCAGCCGCGGUAAGACGAACCGUGCGAACGUUGUUCGGAAUCACUGGGCAUAAAGGGCGCGUAGGCGGCUCGCGAGGUCGGGGGUGAAAUCCCGCAGCUUAACUGCGGAAGGGCCUCCGAUACCGGCGAGCUCGAGGGAGGUAGGGGUGCGCGGAACUUCUGGUGGAGCGGUGAAAUGCGUUGAUAUCAGAAGGAACGCCGGCGGCGAAAGCGGCGCACUGGAUCUCUACUGACGCUGAGGCGCGAAAGCCAGGGGAGCAAACGGGAUUAGAUACC